UACGUAGGGUGCAAGCGUUAAUCGGAAUUACUGGGCGUAAAGCGUGCGCAGGCGGUUUUGUAAGUCUGACGUGAAAUCCCCGGGCUCAACCUGGGAAUUGCGAUGGAGACUGCAAGGCUUGAAUCUGGCAGAGGGGGGUAGAAUUCCACGUGUAGCAGUGAAAUGCGUAGAGAUGUGGAGGAACACCGAUGGCGAAGGCAGCCCCCUGGGUCAAGAUUGACGCUCAUGCACGAAAGCGUGGGGAGCGAACAGG
rnacentral:rRNA from 1 species